rnacentral:misc_RNA from 1 species
GUGAGUCAUCGAAUCUUUGAACGCACAUUGCGCCCCCUGGUAUUCCGGGGGGCAUGCCUGUUCGAGCGUCAUUUACACCCCUCAAGCCAAGCUUGGUGUUGGGAGGCUGCCCCCCCCGGGGGCACACCCGAAAUGAAUCGGCGGCGUGGGAGGCUCCCCCUGGCGAAGUGACCUACAGCGCUACACGGGACCCCGCCGCGCCGGCCGCCAAACCGCCCAAACGCCCAACGAUUGACCUCGGAUCAGGUAGGGAUACCCGCUGAACUUAAGCAUAUCAAUAAGCGGAGGA